rnacentral:rRNA from 1 species
GAAUCAAUUUUUAAACGGCCGCGGUAUCCUAACCGUGCAAAGGUAGCGUAAUCACUUGUCUUUUAAAUAAAGACUAGUAUGAAUGGCCAAAUGAGGAUGGACCUGUCUCCUAUAAUCGACCAGUGAAACUGAUCUUCAAGUACAAAAGCUUGAAUAAAUACAUAAGACGAGAAGACCCUGUGAAGCUUAAAACUAACACUAUAUUAAACUUAACAUAGCGUUAAAUUUUAGUUGGGGCGACUUCGGAACAAAACAAAACUCCCGAGCACAGAGCCAACCACUCUAACCAAGACCCACAAGUCAAAGAAACUACUAGACCCAGUCUUACUGAGCAACGAACCAAGUUACCCCAGGGAUAACAGCGCCAUCUUCUUCAAGAGUCCAUAUCGACAAGAAGGUUUACGACCUCGAUGUUGGAUCAGGACACCCAAAUGGUGCAGCAGCUAUUAAAGGUUCGUUUGUUCAACGAUUAACAGUCCUACGUGAUCUGAGUUC